ACUCAAAGGAAUUGACGGGGGCCCGCACAAGCGGUGGAGCAUGUGGUUUAAUUCGACGCAACGCGAAGAACCUUACCUGGGCUCGAACGGCUUCUCAACAGCAGUGGAAACAUUGUCAUCCCCUUAAAAGGAGUGGAGUCGAGGUGCUGCAUGGCUGUCGUCAGCUCGUGUCGUGAGAUGUUGGGUUAAGUCCCGCAACGAGCGCAACCCUUGUCCUGUGUUGCUAAUCCGCAAGGAUGCACUCUCAGGAGACCGCCAGCGAUAAGUUGGAGGAAGGUGGGGAUGACGUCAAGUCAUCAUGGCCUUUAUGUCCAGGGCUACACACGUGCUACAAUGGACGGUACAAAGCGCGGCAAACCGGCGACGGGGAGCUAAUCGCAGAAAACCGUUCUCAGUUCGGAUUGCAGGCUGCAACUCGCCUGCAUGAAGCUGGAAUCGCUAGUAAUGGCAUAUCAGAACGAUGCCGUGAAUACGUUCCCGGGCCUUGUACACACCGCCCGU
rnacentral:rRNA from 1 species